UAAUACAGAGGUGGCGAGCGUUGUUCGGAUUCAUUGGGCGUAAAGGGUCCGUAGGCGGCCUGGGUAGUCGGAUGUGAAAUCCUGCAGCUCAACUGCAGAACUGCAUUCGAAACUCUCGGGCUAGAGUGUGAGAGGGGUGAAGGGAAUUCCCGGUGUAAGGGUGAAAUCUGCAGAGAUCGGGAAGAACACCAGUCGCGAAGGCGCUACACUGGCUCACUACUGACGCUCAGGGACGAAAGCUAGGGGAGCGAACGGGAUUAGAUACCCCGGUAGUCCUAGCCGUAAACGAUGGUCACUAGGUGUUGGGAGGGUUAAACCUUUCAGUGCCGACGCUUACGCAUUAAGUGACCCGCCUGGGGAGUACGGUCGCAAGGCUG
rnacentral:rRNA from 1 species